AUUUCAAAUGAAUUUUCAAAUUGCUCUUUCUAACUCUAUGAAGCAGUGAGUUGGAAUUGUGAUAGCGAUUGCCUUGAAUAUGUUGAUUGCUUUUGCCAAGUUUGCCAUUUUUGCAAUAUUAACUCUACCAAUCCAUAAGCAUGGAAAAUCUUUCCAUCUGAGAUUUUCUUCAUUUUUUUUUCUUCACAGAGUUGAAGUUCUUGUCAUAAAGACCUUUUACUUGCUUGGUUAGAGUCACACUGAGGUAUUUUUUAUUAUUUGUGACUAAUGUGAAAAUUGUCAUAUCCCUAAUUUCUUCUCAACCUGUUUAUCCUUGAAGUAGAGGAAGCGUAAUGAUUUGUUUGAGUUAAUUUUAUAUCCAGCCAUUUUACAGAAGUUGUUUAUUGGCUGAAGGAGUUCUCUGGUUGAAUUUUUGGGGUCACUAAAAUAUACUAUCAUAUCAUAUACAAAUCAUGAUAUUUUGACUUCUUGAAUUCCCUUUAUCUCCUUUGGUUGUCUAAUUUCUGUGAAUAAGAUUUCUAGUGCUAUAUUAAAGAAGUAAGUGGAGAUUGGGCAACCUUUUCUAUUCCCAGAUAUUUGUUGAAUUGCUUCAAGGUUCUCUCCAUUUAUGUUGAUGUUGGGUACUCUUUUUGUAAUAUUGUUUUUACUAAGUUUAUGUAUGGACCUUGAAUUUAUAAUAUGUACCAAAUCUUUUAACAUGAAGAGGUAUUGAUUGUUUUCAUUUGUUGUCACCAUCUAACAAUGUGAUAAUUUGUUCCCCCACCCUGUGAGUUUGCUUAAAUAAUUGAUUUUUCUAUAUGCUGACCUCACAUUGAACCAUCACCAUUUUUUGAAAAUUCUGUCUUUUUUCCAUUAAAUGGUUUUAGAACAUUUGUCAAAGAUAAAGUGACCGUAGGUGUUUGCAUUUAUUUCUGGAUCUCCAGGCUUGGAUAUCUGGUAAAUUUUUCACUUACCAUGAAUGCAGAAACCAAGAUACUCCAUGACAAAGCCAAAUUUACAAAACAUCUUUCAACAAAUCUAGCCCUACAUGGGAUAGUAGAUGGACACUUCCAACACAAGAAAGGAACUACACCCUAGGAAAAAUUUGGGAAUUAAUCUUUCAACAAACCCAAAAGAUGAUAGCCACACAAAAGUAAUUCCAUUUCUAACAAUAAAAAUAGCAGGAAAGAACAAUAAAUUUUAUUUAAUAUCUCUUAUCAUCAAUGGACUUAAUUCUCCAAUAAGAAUAUAUAAACUAAGGGAUUGAAUAAAUAAAGUGGACCGAACAUUUUGCUGCAUACAGGAAAUAUACCUUAAUUAUAUAGACAGUCACUAUCUCAAGGUAAAAGGCUGGAGAGAAAUUCCAAGCAAAUGGUCCCAAGAAAUAAAACGGAAAUAGCCUUUCUUACAUUGAAUACAAUUGACUUUCAACCAAAGAUAUCAAAAAUGAUAAGGAAGGACAAAAUAAUUGUAAAAGAAAAAAUAAUACUAAGAUGAACUAUCAAUUAUGAACAACUAUGUUUCAAAUGCUAGGGCACCUAAAUUCACCAAAAGAAAAUCACUAAGCCUCAAAGAGUAUUUUGGCGCCAACACGAUAAUAGUAGGAGAUUUCAAUACCCAAGUUAAUCAAUUGACCGUUUGUGGCAACUGAAACUAAACUGACACAUUAAAAAUAACAGAAAUAAUCAUCCAAAUGGAUUUAGCAGAUAUUUAAAUAACAUUUCAUCCUAAAACUAGAGAAUAUACCUUUUUUCUUUGCACCUAAAAGUAACUUCUCCAAACUUACCAUAUACUGUGUCACUAAACAGGUCCAUAUAGAUACCAGAAUAUUGAAAUAAUCCCAUGCACCCUAUCAGAUUAUCAUGGACUAGUGCUGGUCUUCAAUACUUUCUUAUUUUUAUAUUUGUUUUUAUUAUCGAUAUUUGCUUAAUGUGGUAUUUUUGAAACACUAGCUUUCUUGAUAGUUUGGCACUAUGAAAUCUAGGUUGGGUUUAGCCUAAUAGUAAUUCUUCCAUUUUGCCUCUAUAGUAGCAAGAAUGAGAGCUCCAUUCCAUUCUUUGGUAUAUACUAUAUUUUGAGUGAACAUUUUGGGCACACAGUGCAUUUAAUGGUUUUCAUCUCUUCUUAAGUAUAUAUUAUUAUUAUCUCAUCUUAAAAAUUUGUAACUUGACAAUGACAUUUUUAAUAUCAUGUUUGUGAAUGGGUCUUUUGAUCUCAUUUUGUUUAUAUUUUAUCUCCAUUUUAAAUAGAUUUUCCUUUGUGAAUAUUUUCUGUCUUUAAGUAUGUUUGUGCCUUUAUGAGAUUUUAUUAUUGUUUAUCAAUGAAAAAAUGCAUUUUAUUUACACCAGCAGCCUUACAGGAAGGGGAACACAAGAGUUAGUUAGCUAUUUGUAUAGUAUUGGUUACUUAUUAAAAAAUAAAAAUCUCUGAAACAAAGGACAGUGAUUAAUUUCACACUAUCCUCCCCCAAUGUUCCCAGCAUACAGUAAUUCCUAGUAAUGGCCUGAGGUCAUGUGGUGUUGGGAAAUACUUUAUGGAAGAAUAAACCCACAAACCACAGAAUAUUUAAAGAAAAUCUUUCUUCCAUACACACAGAUACAUAAUACGAUUACAGGGAGGUCAAUACAAUUAAUUAAAGAAGAUGUAAAGAAUAUGUUGUUACAAGAAACUGAGGACAAGGAAAGAAUUUCAAACCACUGUCAACUAUACAAUGGUGAACAUUUGUUCCCAAAAAGUAGUUUGUGUGCCAGAACAAUAACAGCUGUACUGGACCCACCUUUUAUCUACACAAAGUGGGGAGCUAUGGUCCUAUUGGAAACAAUGAAGACAGAAAACCAAAACAAUAGCAAAAGGGGAAUUAAUAUAAGCAAUCUGGUAAUGCAAACUACCAAAGACAUCUUUAUGUUCUAACCAGAAAUCGCAGGAAAACUCAUAUCUGAGCGCCCUAUCUAAUGACAAGAGUGAGCAAGCCAUGGCCUUUCUCCCUUUCAUAUUUUUAAGUACUUUACAGAAACAAGAAUCUCAGAUUGCUUUAUCCAUGAUUUAUGAAAGGGUUUUCUAGGCGUAAUGUAUUAAGAAAUCAUUUAAAAGUAUUUUUAGCUCCUGACAAGUUUUUAUUAAAGUCCUCAAACUUCUUGGACUUAGAUCCCAAAGUGUAACUAGGCCAAACCUGAGCUGUAAAACUAUGACAAGGCAACAAUAACAGAUAUUUUCAUGGCCCAAGCACUAUAGCAAUAUACUAUUGAGUACAGAGAUCCAAAUUUAUUCAAACAGAUCAAGAGAGAAGGGAGAAAAAAAGUUAGAAAAGUGAUGAAGAAUCAACACCUCCCUUGUGUAUGCCAGCAUUUAUGGUUCUGCAGUAAGUCCUAAGAGGCAGUAUCCAAGUACCAAGGGGAGGAAAGGACUAAGGACAAGACAGGGAGAUAAACUAGCAUGGCAGGUGUAUGUAAGAGAAAAACUUAGACAUAAAAAUGUCCUGUAAUUUAAAAAAAAAGAUUUUUUUCAUUAUUUUUUCAUUCCAAUCAAAAGAGACAUCCAUGAAUGAUUCUCCUCUAAGGCUUCCAUAAAAGAGGUAAAACAAAAACGAAUAUAAACAUUGAAAGUUUGAAAAUAAAACAAAAGAAAAAGAACUUGUGUACGUUUCAGAGCAGGAGCACUGAAAAAUGAACUAAAUCUGGUCAAGAUGAAACCUAGAGUGAGAAGUAGGAACUAGAAUUAAGAGCUGCAAGAGAUAGGCAGGUGAGCAGUGACAGGAACAUGGCCAGGCCUGAGAGAUAAGACUGGUCCUUUACAAGGGCACAGAAUGAGGUAAGAAAACAUUUCAAAUAAAGCAGCACCUUUCCUUUAUGCUCACCUCAGUAAUCCCAUCCUCUAAUAACCCCCAUUUACAUACUAAAAUAGAAGAGUUGUGGUAUGUAUAUCACUCACUUCCCAUUUACUUUUAACCCUGCCUCCAAAGUCAGGAAGUCCAAACUUUCUAACUUCCAAGAACAAAAAUACAGCCCCAGGUAUAAGGGGGUCCUGAGGGCCAAGUGACAAACUGCAAUAUGUGAGAGUAGAGAAUAUGGAAAUUUCUCAUUCAACAUAGCAGAAGUUUGAUGGCCCAAGCUAAGAAAGGAAAAGGCAACCAUAUCAGGUAAACAAGGUCUGCUUCUCAUAACAUUAAACUCAUUUAUAUUAUUCUUUCCUUUAAAAAAGAAAUACUUUAUUUGGGCUUAUAAUCCAGAAUAUCAGAGUCAGUGAUGGAUGAUAUCAGAGUAAAGAUAAACAGGCAGAGGUUGCUGAAAGAUUACAUCUCAGACCAUAAGCAGAAGGUGGAGAAAACUAGAUUGAAAUAGCUUCAGUCUUUUGAAACCUCAAAGCCUACCCCUAACAACAUACCUCCUGCAACGAGGAAAUACCACUUAGUGAGAUUGCAAUUUUUGGGCAUUUACAUUAUUCUUAACUACACUUAGUCAAAUCACUUCCCAGCUCAAUCUUCAUUUUGAAUGAAGCUGAUUUUCCUGCAAAGUGGCUGUACCAUCUUCUCUUCCUAAUAUUGGCUUUCAUCAUGUGUAUAACAGAUGAUUCUGGAUGCAUAGGGGAUGUUUUUAUUCCUAUGUAUCAUUCCAUUUAUGUACUACAUGUGUACUGACAUUUCAAUGAGUUUCAUUUGGAAAAGGUAUAAAUGGUUGAUCUUAUAUAUACGGUUUCAACCUCUAUUAACAUCUUUUAGAAAAUAUCAAAUAUCCAUUCUUGAUUAAUAAUUUCUUCUCUCAUAAGAUAAAAAAAUAAAAUUUUACUCUAAUCAAAAUAAUUAUCUAUAUUUUCAUACUGAAAAAUGCAGAAGAAUAUUAAGAUAAUGUGGAAUAUUAAAUCAGCUGAAAUGCAUGUUCAUUAAUUAAGAAUAACCAGAAUCAUUGAUAUGUUUUUGGAACAUAAUAUACGAACAAAUACCAAAGCAUUGAAUAAAUAGUGUCAGAAGACGAGAGUCAUUAUAUAAAAUGUACCUUACCUUCAGAUCCAGUGUUUUUGUUCAUGUAGCAAGAAUUCAAUUUACCUACUCUUCCUCAGUAUUUUUCAUCCUCUCAUUGACUCGAAUUUCAAAGCUGUAUCCUAUAACUAGCAUGAUUGUUAAAUUUCAAACCAAGAACAGUGCAUGUGUCAAUAAUUUUCCGCCUUUCCUUAUUUGUGUUUUAUUCUGUUCCCAAAGGCCAUGUUGUGUUGAAGUUAUGAAGAAUUUCUUGCUCCUUUGAUGAAAAUUUUCUGAAAGCAUAGAUUAUUCAUAUUUGUAAAAUACUAUUGAUAUGUUUAAUAGUACUGGAUAUUAUAGUUAAAAUCAUCUGGGUUAGGAAUUUUUGCAUGUAUAUCAUAACACACUAAAAUACUAAAGAUUAAAAGUAGAAGAGAUAGAAUUUAUUACAUGUUUUUACUCUUCUAGGGUUUGUAAGUUUACAAAAUCUGAGCAAAUGAUUUCUUUCUGUGAAAUUCACAUUCAUGAGCUAUUAUAUUCUAAUCAAACAGUGUGUCAGCACCAAUAAACUUGGAUUAAAUUCUAAUUGCAAUACAAAAUGUUUGUAGUAAGUAAAUGGGCAAAUAAUUUGUCUGAAUAUACUAAAUAAGCAUGUAGUAUAAUCAUAGGUUUGCUCUUAAUUAAAUAAGUACUCCCAGAUACACCUUGAAAAAAUACAGAUAGUAAUGUAAGUUUUUUUUUUAUAUAACAGCUAAUAAUGGUCUGAGUAAUGGUUUAAAUCAACAAACCAUGAACAGUAAGUAGGAAUGUCUAGUGAGUUAGAGGUUCUUUCAAGCAUCUUCAAGGGUCUAAAAUAAAUUCCUUUAUAAUUCUCCUAAAUCCACUUAUCAUGAAACAUUCCACAUCAGAGUAAAUAACACCAACAUCUUUUCAUUUUCUCAAAAAAAGUCAUUGGGUUUCUUUUCUUCCUACUCAACCCACCCUCAUUCUACUACCAAACACAACAAUUUCCAUCAUAGCUCUCUGAUAUGACUCUUUUUCAUUAUCAUUGACCCUACUUCCAGAUAGACUUCAAAAACAUCCUUAAAAUCAUUCUCUGUAUCAUAUCAUAAUUCAUAAGUAACCAGAGUCCCUUACUAUAUACAUUGUGAGUUAAACAAACUUAUUUAAAACUAUUCAAUGAUUUCUAAGACAUUUUCAGUAAAUAAAAAUUAUAUGUCUAACAUUGUUUCUAUAUUCCCAUAUGAGUCAUUGCCUGAGAUUCAGCUUUAUUUGGACCGUUCUUCUAUCUCUUAAUCAAUACAAACUACUCUCAUAUUUACUUUUUUGUAUAUGUCAAGGUCUUUGUCCUCUUAUCAUCCUUAUAUUUACUGUAAUUUUGCCCAAAAUAUAGAUCAAUUAUUUUUCAUCUAAUUUAACUUAAAUGUCACUUCCUCAUGACAAUCUCCAUGACCUUAUUUCUAAAAUAGAUUCUUCAACUACUUGCAUACUAUCAACUCCAACACACUGAUUUAUGCAUUCAUUUUUUUUCUUUUUUCUUGUACUAUAAUGCAAUCUUUAUAAAAGAAAGUUCAUAAUACUUUCUAUUCAUUCCUAAUCUAUACACUAUUAUGGACAUGGUACAUUAGUGGAGACUUAUUAUUUAUUACAUGAUUCAGUAAGUUGCAUAAAUAAACUUUAUACUAUUCUUCAUUUUAAUGAAUAUGCAUCCCGUGCAUUGGUUAGACCAUCAUGUAGUAAUUAUGUGAGUUCUUCAAUUCAGUGACCUAGUUGACAUUGCCUAAACAUUUUAAUUUGUCACAGAUAGUCUCUGUCAUAUUCAAAACAAUACUUUGUUCACUGAACAAUUAUCUCAGCUGGGAAUAUAUUUGAUAUGAAAGAAUGAGAUUCCUAAGUUUAAUUCACAGCAUCCAUGUGAAAAUGCCAGCUGCCAUAUGUUUGUGGUCCCAUCUCUGAAGAGACAGAGAGAUGAUGAUUCCUAGGCACUUACUUAUCAGGGAGUCAAAUUUCUUUUGUGAGCUGUUCCAGUGAAAGUUUAAAAACCAAGAGGACCCAGAGCUGUGUUCCCAGAGCUGAACCUGUACCUCAGCUCUCUGUCCCCAGAUCCAAUGAGGAAAUAGAUGGACUUCCAGGAGUGCUGACACACUCAAGAGCACAGGAAAGACUUUUUCUUCUCAGAGGUAACUUCCUGGAGUGCUCAGAACCCACGAAAAGAGGUGCAGUCUGUUACAGCAUACUUUUGUUUCUAUCUAUUCCAUAUAGCUGAAAUUUAUCCACAGUUCUUGGCACACAAGAUAAUUCAAGAGAGAACAACGGUCCCAUUACUGUUGACACACAGGCUAAGAGAGAAUUCAAGCCACUUUCAGAGACAGCAAAACCAGCUAACUCCAGAUGGUGAGGGGCAAGUAUAAUUCCCUAAGGAACAUAAACUGAUGUUACUAGACAUCAUCAGAAACCAGUUCUCCCACCAAAGCUAGCCCAGUCUACCCCUGACACACCAGAAAAGAGAUAGAAAAGUUUGUAGUUCAAAUCACUGAACAUGAUGAGGUUAAAGGAUUUUAAGAAGGACAUAAAUAACUCCAUCAAAGAAAUACAAGACAACAGAUGUAAAGAGAUAGAAGCCCUCAUAGAGGAAACCCAAAAAUCCCUUAACGAAUUACAUUACAACAUAACCAAGCUGCUGGAGGAAUUGAAAAAUCCAUCAGGAAGUAAAAAUGGAAACAGAAAACAACAACAACAACAACAAAAACAACAACAACAACAACAACAACAGCAAACCACACAAAGAUGAAAACUCUGAAUAUAGAAAACCUGGGAAAGAUAUUAGGAGUCAUAAACGCAAGCAUCAACCAACAGAAUAUAAAAUAUAGAAAAGAAUCUCAGGGGCAGAAGAUACCAUAGAAAACAGUAACACAAUUGUCCAAAAAUACAAAAGAAAAAACUCCUAACCCAAAACAUCCAGGAAAUCAUAGACAAAAUGAGAAGAUAAAACCUAAGGAUAAUAGGUAUAGAAGAGAAUGAAACUCCCACUUUGAAGGGUCAGUAAAUAUCUUCUACAAAAUUAUACUAGAAAUCUUCCCUAUCCUAAAGAAAGAGACAACCUUGCACGUACAAAAAGCAAAAAGAAUUCCAAAAAAAUUGGAGCAGAAAAGAAAUUUCUUCCAUCACAUAAUAGUUAAAAUAUAAAGUGCACAAAACAAAGAAAAAAAUGUUAAACGCAGUAAGGGAAAAAGGUCGAGUAACAUAAAAAGGGAGACCAAUCAGUAUUCCACACUUCUUAAAAUAGACUGUGAAAGCUAGCAAUCCUGGGCAUAUAUCACACAGAUCCUAAAUGAAAAAAAAUGUCAGCCCAGGCUACUGUAAAACCUCUCAACUACCAUAGAUGGAGAUUCCAAGAUAUGCCAUGUCAUGAGCAAAUUUACACAAUAUCUUUCCACAAAUCCAGUCCUACAAAAGAUGAUAGAUGGAAAAUUCCAGUACAAGGCAGGAAACUACACCCAGAAAAAGAAAGAACACAAUCUACUUUUAAAAAACACAAAAAAGAGAUAAAGUAGGUAGCCACAGAAACAUAAUUCGACAUUUAACAAGAAAAAUAAUAGACAAAACCAAUCAUUUUCCGAUAUCAUUAAACAUCAAAGGACUCAAAUACCUAUAAAACGACAAACACUAGAAGUCAACUGCCCUGGAAUAAAAACACUUUAUUCUUCCUCUGUCUGCAAUGGAGGGGUCAGAGACUUGGCCAUCUGAUGGACCAAAAUCUAGAAUUGACCUUGUGACUGAGGAGUGUCUCAAACAUUCAGCCUCUGCUGUAGUGUACCUGAAACUGAAUCCUUGUGAACAAGAAUCCAUAGAAGAUCCUCACUUUGUUUGUGGCUGACCAGAACUUGUUCCUCAAACCUUAUUGCAUAGCCAAUACAACUCUGACCACCAAAAAAUCUUCAAGAACAAUGGAUUGAGGUCCCUUGGCCAAUGAAUAAAAAUUCCAGCCUGGAUCCAAGGCCACUUAUCUAAGAUUCUCACCAGAAAGGCCAAUAUCCCUCACACCCAUACCUGUGCGGCUUAUAGUAAGUUUAAAUAGGGUUUAGAUCCAGUGACUUUGACACAAGAUUUCAGAAUAAAUCUCAGAUUGCUGUCAAGUCUGUAGUGGAGGCCUUGGAGAUAAGAAUUUUCUUGAGUUCUCUGAAAAUAUGGAGCCCUGGAGUGCUGGGACCAUAGUCUUCUAUAGAAGGUAAUCAGGAAUAGUCCCUUACUUUCAAACUGGUUUAAGAACUUUCUCCUUUCAAAAACAUUGGUAUUUUUUUCUGCUCAGGAUGAUUAGGCCUUAGAGUUACUCAUUUGACCAAAUGGUCUCUCAGAACCAUCCCUUUUGCUUGGGGCCCAUGGAAUAUUUUACCUCAGACCAUGGAGCAUUGAUCCCUCUGUUGAAGGUUCACUGAAAUCCAAAAGGAGGGAGCAAAUCCUGGAAUCUCAUGCUACUUCCUUGUGUAAGGUCACAUGAUAUGUUGUGAAGUCAUCAGUCUGGUGCUCAUUUCUUUUUGGUUGAAUAUAGUUUUUAGGAGGCAAUCAGGCUUAGGACACCCCCAACUUUUCUUGAAUCAUGGAAUCUAUAUUCAGUCUCUUGCAGAUUCAGCUAAAGAUGUGUAUAUGCUAGACUGUGAAGUACCAUUAGAAGAUGAAGCAAUGUAGGACCUCUUGAGCUAUUUUCAAGGUAGACUGGAGGUUCACUUGGGAUGCAAUGAAGAGCCCCUGACAAGCAUAUUCUUCAAAGCCUCCCAUGGUGUAACUGAAGAUACGAUAUGUGAAGUAGCCCUAGCUUGCCUGCUCAAGAGAUCAAGAAGUGGUCAGAAGAAUUUCAAGUACAAAUUCAGAUGGCUGGAAAGAGCCCAGUCUCUCUAACAGGCAUCUGCAGAUACUACCUUUUGAGGAAUGAAUCCUUCUCAGGAGACAAUAGACGGAACCUGCACUUCAAUGAUAAUUAAAUGGCACUUCAAGAUAUCAAAUCAAAAUAUCAAAGUGAGAAUGGAAUAAAUUUAUUAGUACA